rnacentral:rRNA from 1 species
GACGAACGCUGGCGGCGUGCUUAACACAUGCAAGUCGAACGGAAAGGCCCUGCUUUUGUGGGGUGCUCGAGUGGCGAACGGGUGAGUAACACGUGAGUAACCUGCCCUUGACUUUGGGAUAAUUUCAGGAAACUGGGGCUAAUACCGGAUAGGAGCUCCUGCUGCAUGGUGGGGGUUGGAAAGUUUCGGCGGUUGGGGAUGGACUCGCGGCUUAUCAGCUUGUUGGUGGGGUAGUGGCUUACCAAGGCUUUGACGGGUAGCCGGCCUGAGAGGGUGACCGGCCACAUUGGGACUGAGAUACGGCCCAGACUCCUACGGGAGGCAGCAGUGGGGAAUAUUGCACAAUGGGCGGAAGCCUGAUGCAGCAACGCCGCGUGCGGGAUGACGGCCUUCGGGUUGUAAACCGCUUUUGCCUGUGACGAAGCGUGAGUGACGGUAAUGGGUAAAGAAGCACCGGCUAACUACGUG